UUGGUGCUACGGGGGGCAGCAGUGGGGAAUAUUGGACAAUGGGGGAAACCCUGAUCCAGCGACGCCGCGUGAGUGAAGAAGUAUUUCGGUACGUAAAGCUCUAUCAGCAGGAAAGAAAAUGACGGUACCUGACUAAGAAGCCCCGGCUAACUACGUGCCAGCAGCCGCGGUAAUACGUAGGGGGCAAGCGUUAUCCGGAUUUACUGGGUGUAAAGGGAGCGUAGACGGCAGCGCAAGUCUGGAGUGAAAUGCCGGGGCCCAACGCCGGAACUGCAUUGGAAACUGUUUAACUAGAGUGUCGGAGA
rnacentral:rRNA from 1 species